rnacentral:pre_miRNA from 1 species
AUAACAACAUUUGGACCGUCGGUCUACCGAGCAAUAUCAUCCGCUCGGUGGAAGAUCUUGCCUUUGUCGUUAAUC